rnacentral:rRNA from 1 species
AUGGCUAUGUUGACGGCUGAGGUGAUCUGGUUACGAUGGUUACUUGAGGAUUUUGGUGUGUCUGCUACUGCCUCGACUCCCUUACUGUCAGACAGUACUGGUGCUAUCAGUAUUGCGUGUGAUCCGGUGAAGCAUGAGUUCACCAAGCACAUCGGUGUGGAUGCCCACUUUGUGCGUGCUGCUGUGCAGGAUCAGACUCUCGCUCUUCAUUGUGUGCCCUCAGAGUUACAGUUGGCUGACUUCUUCACGAAGGCACAGACUCGAGCGCAGCAUACCUUUUUUCUCUCCAAACUCAGUGUUGUUGAUCCAUCAUGA